GACGAACGCUGGCGGCGUGCUUAACACAUGCCAGUCGAACGGAAAGGCCCUGCUUUUGUGGGGUGCUCGAGUGGCGAACGGGUGAGUAACACGUGAGUAACCUGCCCUUGACUUUGGGAUAACUUCAGGAAACUGGGGCUAAUACCGGAUAGGAGCUCCUUCUGCAUGGUGGGGGUUGGAAAGUUUCGGCGGUUGGGGAUGGACUCGCGGCUUAUCAGCUUGUUUGUGGGGUAGUGGCUUACCAAGGCUUUGACGGGUAGCCGGCCUGAGAGGGUGACCGGCCAAAUUGGGACUGAGAUACGGACCAGACUCCAACGGGAGGCAGCAGUGGGGAAUAUUGCACAAUGGGCGGAAGCCUGAUGCAGCAACGCGGCGUGCGGGAUGACGGCCUUCGGGUUGUAAACCGCUUUCGCCUGUGACGAAGCGUGAGUGACGGUAAUGGGUAAAGAAGCACCGGCUAACUACGUG
rnacentral:rRNA from 1 species